GCUCACUUCUUGCUGUGGCACCUAUUCCCAUUCUGGCGCUGCUCAGCAACACUUGAGAUGCAAUAUGGAGCUGCUACAGACCACAGAGAUGAAUAUUUGGUUUAGAUACAGGGGAAGAUCAUUCAGUUAUGGUGAGAUGAUGUAACUGACCUGGCGUGUGCAGCUUCAUGUCACCAGACCACAAGGGGAGGCGGUCAAUGUCACCCCUAUUGCUGUCAAACCCUUCUAGAGUCAGUGAUGGCUUUUCAGGGACCCUCCACCAGAUACACAAGAGUUUUCUAGGGCGCAACGUAGCAACCCUGAGAAAGAUCACAGCGAACCUUCUAAGAUGCCCUGCAGACAGUGCUGAUCCUCAGCAGAAGGCAUGUCAGAGGAGCCGAUGGAUAUGCCAGACCAGAAUGGUCCACAGAUCUCAAAGAGCUUUGCAAAGGAGUUCAGUCCUGCCAUCCCUAUUUUACAGC